GCGUCCUAAUACAUGCAAGUCGAGCGAAUGGAUUAAGAGCUUGCUCUUAUGAAGUUAGCGGCGGACGGGUGAGUAACACGUGGGUAACCUGCCCAUAAGACUGGGAUAACUCCGGGAAACCGGGGCUAAUACCGGAUAACAUUUUGAACCGCAUGGUUCGAAAUUGAAAGGCGGCUUCGGCUGUCACUUAUGGAUGGACCCGCGUCGCAUUAGCUAGUUGGUGAGGUAACGGCUCACCAAGGCAACGAUGCGUAGCCGACCUGAGAGGGUGAUCGGCCACACUGGGACUGAGACACGGCCCAGACUCCUACGGGAGGCAGCAGUAGGGAAUCUUCCGCAAUGGACGAAAGUCUGACGGAGCAACGCCGCGUGAGUGAUGAAGGCUUUCGGGUCGUAAAACUCUGUUGUUAGGGAAGAACAAGUGCUAGUUGAAUAAGCUGGCACCUUGACGGUACCUAACCAGAAAGCCACGGCUAACUACGUGCCAGCAGCCGCGGUAAUACGUAGGUGGCAAGCGUUAUCCGGAAUUAUUGGGCGUAAAGCGCGCGCAGGUGGUUUCUUAAGUCUGAUGUGAAACCCACGGCUCACCGUGGAGGGUCAUUGGAAACUGGGA
rnacentral:rRNA from 1 species